rnacentral:rRNA from 1 species
GAUCCUGGCUCAGGAUGAACGCUAGCUACAGGCUUAACACAUGCAAGUCGAGGGGCAGCAUGACCUAGCAAUAGGUUGAUGGCGACCGGCGCACGGGUGAGCAACACGUAUCCAACCUACCGGUUAUUCCGGGAUAGCCUUUCGGAAAGAAAGAUUAAUACCGGAUAGUAUAACGAGAAGGCAUCUUUUUGUUAUUAAAGAAUUUCGAUAACCGAUGGGGAUGCGUUCCAUUAGUUUGUUGGCGGGGUAACGGCCCACCAAG